CCUGCCCCUAGAGGCAUUGAAGGUGUGGCUUCUGGUGUCACAUGUGUACCAGUAGGUGGCAGAGAGCAGAGGUUAUAUCUAUGCUUGGUGCUCUGACCUAUGAACAUCUGAAUGAUCGGUAGCCUAAUAUU